rnacentral:rRNA from 1 species
UGUACAAAGGUAGCAUAAUCAUUUGUCUCUUAAUUGGAGUCUGGAAUGAAUGGUUUGAUGAAAAGUUUACUUUCUUUACUUUAAAAAAAAAAAUUGAUUUUUUGAUAAAAAAGUUGAGAUAUAUAUAUAGGACGAGAAGACCCUAUAGAACUUUAUUCUUAUAAAAAUAUGAAAUAUUGAUUAUGUCUUUUUAUCUUUUUUGGGGAAUUAUGUUGGGGUGAUAAAAAAAAUAUUAUAACUUUUUUUACUUUGAUCAUUUAUUUAUGAAUUGUUUUGAUCCUGUAUUUAUGGAAAAAAGACUAAGUUACCUUAGGGAUAACAGCGUUAUUACUUUAGAGAGUUCUUAUCGAUAAAGUAGUUUGCGACCUCGAUGUUGGAUUAAAAAAAGUUCCGGGGGUAGAAUAUCGGAAAUCUGGGUCUGUUCGAC